GACGUAGGGGGCAAGCGUUAUUCGGAAUUAUUGGGCGUAAAGCGCUCGUAGGCGGGACUGGAAGUCCGUGUUGAAAGACCUCGGCUCAACUGAGGGACCGGCUCGGAUACUGGCAAGCUAGAGUGCGGUAGAGGGUAGUGGAAUUCCCGGUGUAGCGGUGAAAUGCGUAGAGAUCGGGAGGAACACCAGUGGCGAAGGCGGCUACCUGGACCAGCACUGACACUGAGGCACGAAAGCGUGGGGAGCAAACAGG
rnacentral:rRNA from 1 species